rnacentral:rRNA from 1 species
AAGCUCGUAGUUGAAUUUCGGGGUUAGUAGGUUGGUCAUGCCUCUGGUAUGUACUGGUCUCACUGAUUCCUCCUUCCUUAAUGAACCGUAAUGCCAUUAAUUUGGUGUUGCGGGGAAUUUGGACUGUUACUUUGAAAAAAUUAGAGUGUUUAAAGCAAGCUAACGCUUGAAUACAUUAGCAUGGAAUAAUGAAAUAGGACGUUCGAUCUUAAUUUUGUUGGUUUCUAGGAUUGACGUAAUGAUUAAUAGGGAUAGUUGG